AGUGAACGCUGGCGGUAUGCCUAACACAUGCAAGUCGAGCGGCAGCACAGUAAGCUUUCGCCUUUACGGUUAGCGAGUGGCGGACGGGUGAGGAGUACAUCGGCUUCUACUUUGUCUGGGGGGAUAACGGAAGGAAACUGACACUAAUACCGCAUACGACCUACGGCUGAGAUCAGUGGUUCUUCACACCUUUCCCGAUUCAAUUAGCCGAUUCCGGAUUAGCUAGUUGGCAGGGUAAAGGCCCACCAAGGCGACGAUGCGUAGCUGGUCUGAGAGGAUGAUCAGCCACACUGGAACUGAGACACGGUCCAGACUCCUACGGGAGGCAGCAGUGGGGAAUAUUGGACAAUGGGCGAAAGCCUGAUCCAGCCAUACCGCGUGGGUGAAGAAGGCCUUCGGGUUGUAAAGCCCUUUUGUUGGGAAAGAAAAGCAGCAGGUUAAUACACCGCUGUUCUGACGGUACCCAAAGAAUAAGCACCGGCUAACUUCGUG
rnacentral:rRNA from 1 species